CGGCCCAUACCCUUAUAGUUUUAAGUUAGUGCAUCGGAUACCAUUAUACAAGAUUCUGCAUAGGAUGCCAUUAUAGUAGUAAUUUGAGUGCACUUACCUCUUUUUCUAUGUUUCGUGAGAUUUAACAGGUUACUGAGCCAAUAUGGCUGCCACAUAGGCUACAAAUAAGUCUAAAAGUAAAAAUAAAAAUAAAAAUUUAAAAAACAUAAACUAAAAAGAAUGCGACAAAUCUCCCUCCUCGCAUAGUCUUCUUCCUCAUAGAGCAUUCUAAGUUUGGCGAGUGC
rnacentral:lncRNA from 1 species